UUGUUUUGCUAUCUAAUAUAAAAAAAUUAAUUUUUUUAUAUUAAUUUUAUUAUUUUAGUGUACUAAUAUUAAAAAUAAAGUUUAAAAAAAUUAAAAAUAAAUAAUAUUAAUUUUUCUUGUUUUUUUAUGGGUAUCUAUAAAAACAAACAAGAGAAAUCGUCUCUUUUUUUUAAAAAAAAAAGAGUCUCCCAGUUUUUUUUUUUUAUUAUUAAAAAAGAAGACAUCCACUGUUUUGUCUCUCAAGAAGACGUGCCCCAUGUUUUCCAAAGCCCUGCAUUUCCUAUAUAAAGAGCAAGGGAGUCCUGGGGAAACUCAAAAAAAGGAAGUAAGAGUAGAGUUUGAAGAAAUGAGAGAAGAGUCUAGCCAAACUAAAAGAGGAAACUAAUAUAAUCUCUCUGCAGAAUGCUGCAAAGCAACAUCGUCUAGAUCUAAAACAUAAGAUCAAGCCGAAGUUGGUUUGCUGCACUCUGCUGGGAGAUUAGAUUAGUUUCCUCUUUUAGUUUGGCAGCCUCUUCUCUUGUUUCCUCAAACUUUUCUCUUACUUCCUUUUGUCCCUCUCUUAUGCCUUUUUGUCCCUCGCUAAUCUCACUCAUCUCAGAUUUUAUGUGUCAAUAUAGGUCAAUAUUGAUCGAGGAAUGACCCUCGAAAUAUAUACCAGACUCUUUCUUGAGUUGCUCCAUCAUGUUACUUUGUUCACCAGAGAGUAUAAAAGCUUUAAAAUAGAAUGGUUAUUUUCCUGACACCAGCCUGUCAUCUUGGUUCUGAAGCUGAAGUUCCAUUUCCAUCUUCAACGAAUCACUAAUUUAUCAGGAAUUGUGAUGUUCUUUGAAGUCAAAAUAAUCAAAGAACAAUAAGAGGUGUUUGUUCUGAUGGAACGGAAAGUGAAAAUGCAAAAGCAGGGGAGAAAAGAAGAAGAUUUUUUUUCUGUACACGGAAUGGUCGAGAAGAAAGAGAAUGGGAUCUGGGAAAAGAACAUCGCAGAGGUACAGUUCCUGGGCCCUUUUCGCUGCGAAUAUAUUGUCAACCCCUCCCAGCUGUUCGCUCAACAAGUGAUAAAAAUAUGCUCUACUUGUUUGGAAAGCCUAAAAGCAAGCGAGGAAGCAGUCCAAGUAGGGCUGCCGAUAGCAACAGGCGACAAAUGAUCCACAAAGAAACCAAAAAUCCUACUGGUUUAACACGUGACUGUCACACAUCUUCAUCUUGUCAUAUUUUGGACCUUACAUUGUGUGAUCUUCCACCAGGUAGUUGAAUUAAGAAUAAACUUUUUUAUUUAUUUCCGACCAUUAUACAAAUGAAUAGUACAAUGAGUUGUUUCCUUGUUA